rnacentral:rRNA from 1 species
GGGGGAUAAAUUAAUAAAGUAUAAAUAAUAAAAAAAUUUUUAAUAUUAAAAUAUUUUAAUGGGGGUUAAAGUAUAUUUAAUAGAAAAAAUAAAAAAAAUUUAUAGAAAAUUAGUAUUGUAAAAGAAAUUUGAAAUAUAUUGAAAAUAAAUUUAUUUAAAAGUAAAUUUAAUUUAUUGUAUCUUGUGUAUCAGAGUUUAUUAAUAAUAAUUUUUAUAUAUAAAAAUUUUCUCGAAUUUAAAAGAGAUAAUUAAUUAUUAAAGUUAAUGUUGUAUAAUUAUUUUAAAUAAUUAAUUGGAAAUGAGAUGUUAAUCGUUUUUAAAUAUAUCUAGUUUUUUUAGAAAAAAAUUUAAUUUUAAAUUUUAAAAAGAAUAUAAUUUUAAUUAAUUAAAAUUAUAUUUUUAAAAUUAAAUAUUUUAAGGGAUAAGCUUUAAAAUAAAUUUUUAUAAUAAAUUUUAACAAUAAUUAAAAUUUUUAAAAUUUAUAUUGUUUAUAAAUUAUAAUUUUUUAUAAAUAAUUUUAAUUAAAUUAAAAUUUUAAAUUUAUUUAAUUUUUUAUUAAAAAAUAUUUUUUAAUAAUUAAAAUUUAGAUAUAAUGAUAAAAUUAGUAUAUAAAUGAAUAAAUAAUAUAGUUUAUUAUUUGAUAAUUUAAUAAAAGGAAUUCGGCAAAAAUUAUAUUCACUUGUUUAUCAAAAACAUGUCUUUUUGGUUAAUAAUUUAAAGUCUAAUCUGCCCACUGAUAAUAUAUUAAAGGGCUGCAGUAUUUUGACUGUACAAAGGUAGCAUAAUCAUUAGUCUCUUAAUUGGUGACUUGUAUGAAAGAUUUGAUGAGAUAUAUACUGUCUCUUUUUAAUUUAUAAAAUUUAAUUUUUUAGUUAAAAAGCUAAAAUAUAUUUAAAAGACGAGAAGACCCUAUAGAGUUUUAUAUUUAUAUAAAUUAAAAUUUUUUAUAAGCUUUAAAAUUUUAAUUUAUAUAAAUAUUUUGUUGGGGUGAUAAAAAAAUUAAAAUAACUUUUUUUAUAAUUUUACAUUAAUAAAUGAAUAAAUGAUCCGUAAUUUACGAUUAUAAGAUAAAAUUACCUUAGGGAUAACAGCGUAAUUUUUUUUUUUAGUUCAAAUAAGAAAAAAAGUUUGCGACCUCGAUGUUGGAUUAAGAUAAAAUUUAAAUGCAAAAGUUUAAAAUUUUUGAUCUGUUCGAUCAUUAAAAUCUUACAUGAUCUGAGUUCAAACCGGUGUAAGCCAGGUUGGUUUCUAUCUUUAGAUUAAUAAAAUAUUUUAGUACGAAAGGAUCAAAUAUUUAAAAUAGUUUUAUUUAAAAGAAUUUUAAUAAUAGUAUAUUUUUAAAUAUG